AAUGAACGUUGGCGGCGUGGAUUAGGCAUGCAAGUCGUACGCCCCGCAAGGGGCGUGGCGCAAGGGUGAGUAAGGCGACGGCAACCAACCUGGGGGCCGGACAUAGCCGCGGGAAACUGCGGGUAAUCCCCGCCGCCGUCGAACCGGGGCCUCUCGCGUCGACGAAAGGUGUGACUCCGCCCCCGGACGGGGCGUCGGGGUAGUAGCUAGAUGGCGGGGGAAUGGCCCACCGUGGCGGCGAUGGCUACCGGGCGUGCCGGCGUGGCCCGGCAGACUGGGACUGAGACACUGCCCAGAAACCUACGGGUGGCUGCAGUCGAGAAUCUUCGGCAAUGGGCGCAAGCCUGACCGAGCGACGCCGCGUGGAGGAUGAAGGCCUUCGGGUUGUAAACUCCUGUCGAGGGGGAACAAGGUGGCGCGAAGAGCGUUGCUUGAGUGAUCCCUGGAGGAAGCACGGGCUAAGUUCGUGCCAGCCGCCGCCGUAAGAC
rnacentral:rRNA from 1 species